rnacentral:rRNA from 1 species
GGUAAAUCUCGUGCCAGCCACCGCGGUCACACAAGAGACCCAAACUAACAGUAGCCGGCGUAAAGAGUGGCAAUAUGUUAUCCAACCAAAUUAAGACCCAAACACAGCUAAGCUGUCACAAGCCCAAGAUGUUCCUAAAAUCACCAUAAAAAUGGUCUUAACACCCACGAUCAAUUUCACCCCACGAAAGCUAAGGCACAAACUGGGAUUAGAUACCCCACUAUGCUUAGCCUUAAAUCAUGAUACUUACCCCACCUAAGUAUCCGCCCGAGAACUACGAGCACAAACGCUUAAAACUCUAAGGACUUGGCGGUGCCCUAAACCCACCUAGAGGAGCCUGUUCUAUAAUCGAUAAUCCACGAUUCACCCAACCACCCCUUGCCAUGCAGCCUACAUACCGCCGUCGCCAGCCCGCCUCAUGAGAGAACAAUAGCGAGCACAAUAGCCCACCCGCUAACAAGACAGGUCAAGGUAUAGCAUAUGGAGUGGAAGAAAUGGGCUACAUUUUCUAACAUAGAAUACACACGAAAGAGGAUAUGAAAUCAUCCUCAGAAGGCGGAUUUAGCAGUAAAAUAGAAUAAGAGAGUCUAUUUUAAGUCGGCUCUAGGGCACGUACAUACCGCCCGUCACCCUCCUCAAAAGCUAUAACACCCCAUACAUAAUAAGCUCCGCAGCUGAAGAUGAGGUAAGUCGUAACAAGGUAAGCAUACUGGA